GACCGCUCCGGUGGCCUAGUGGUUAGAGCGUUCGCCUUGGAUACCGGAGGUUGUGGGUUCGAUCCCCGGCCGAGUCA